AGCAGGUCCCAAGGGUAUGGCUGUUCGCCAUUUAAAGUGGUACGCGAGCUGGGUUUAGAACGUCGUGAGACAGUUCGGUCCCUAUCUGCCGUGGGCGUUGGAGACUUGAGGGAAGCUGCUCCUAGUACGAGAGGACCGGAGUGGACGUACCUCUGGUGUUCCGGUUGUCACGCCAGUGGCACUGCCGGGUAGCUAUGUACGGACGGGAUAACCGCUGAAAGCAUCUAAGCGGGAAGCCCCUCCCAAGAUAAGGUCUCCCUGGACCCUUGAGGUCCCUAAAGGUCCGUCGAAGACUACGACGUUGAUAGGCGGGAUGUGGAAGCGCGGUAACGUGUGAAGCUAACCCGUACUAAUUGACCGUGCGGCUUGACCAUAUAACACCCAAGCAUUUUGG
rnacentral:rRNA from 1 species